rnacentral:sRNA from 1 species
AAAUAAAUAAAUAAAAU